rnacentral:tRNA from 1 species
AGGGAUCUAGCUCAGCGGCAUAAGCGCCUGCCUUGCAAGCAGGCAGUCGUGAGUUUGAUCCCUG